AUGUCUAGACGAGCACCAUAUAAACAUAGUGAUGCCUGUGAUACUAUCCAUUUGGAUUUGGAUGCAUUGGAAGCAAAUCCAGAAGUUAUUCUUUUGGAACACUGUAGAAGAGGAGGUAUAUUUGAUAAGUUUGUUGCGGUCUUGGGGGCAGUAGCAAUUGCGCAGAGUUUCCCGGUUACAGUAUUACACAGGUGUUUAGUUAGGAAUCAUGUGGAGAUGUUUUCAGCAACCAUAUAUUGCAGAGGUUUGCCACUUCCAUCAACUAUGGAUGCAUUUAUCAACCAUAUAUAUGUGCCUGCAGGUCAAUUCAACGACGAAAAACUGUGUUCGGAUUCAGCCCAAGGGCCUUGCCAAAUAUUCGGCUAG
rnacentral:rRNA from 1 species